rnacentral:rRNA from 1 species
GACGAACGCUGGCGGCGUGCUUAACACAUGCAAGUCGAACGGAAAGGCCCUGCUUUUGUGGGGUGCUCGAGUGGCGAACGGGUGAGUAACACGUGAGUAACCUGCCCUUGACUUUGGGAUAACUUCAGGAAACUGGGGCUAAUACCGGAUAGGAGCUCCUGCUGCAUGGUGGGGGUUGGAAAGUUUCGGCGGUUGGGGAUGGACUCGCGGCUUAUCAGCUUGUUGGUGGGGUAGUGACUUACCAAGGCUUUGACGGGUAGCCGGCCUGAGAGGGUGACCGGCCACAUUGGGACUGAGAUACGGCCCAGACUCCUACGGGAGGCAGCAGUGGGGAAUAUUGCACAAUGGGCGGAAGCCUGAUGCAGCAAUGCCGCGUGCGGGAUGACGGCCUUCGGGUUGUAAACCGCUUUCGCCUGUGACGAAGCGUGAGUGACGGUAAUGGGUAAAGAAGCACCGGCUAACUACGUG